rnacentral:rRNA from 1 species
GCAAGUCGAACGGAAAGGCCCUGCUUUUGUGGGGUGCUCGAGUGGCGAACGGGUGAGUAACACGUGAGUAACCUGCCCUUGACUUUGGGAUAACUUCAGGAAACUGGGGCUAAUACCGGAUAGGAGCUCCUGCUGCUUGGUGGGGGUUGGAAAGUUUCGGCGGUUGGGGAUGGACUCGCGGCUUAGGAGCGUGUGGGUGGGGUAGUGGAGUACCAAGGCUAUGACGGGUAGCCGGCCGGAGAGGGUGAGC